GUACAGAUUUACUAAGGCGGGUACUAAUAGUAUAUAUAUUUUAUUUCUCAAAUAUGGAUUGUAACCACAGAGAAGAAUGAAAUUAGUAUUUCAUGAAAUACUGAUUACUUUUCAACAGGAUGAAAAUUAGUAUCUCUAAUAUCUUUGCAAUAUCAAAUGAAAUUUCAUAAUUUAUGUAUACCUACAUUCUCAGAAAUUUUUCCUAAAUCAUACCUCAUUCUUUCCAAACAUGCAAAAUAUUCAGAAUUCCAUUGGGGGGAUGGAGAUAUACCUUAUUUUUUAAAUUACUUCUGAUGACUGGAAAGAAAAAUAAGUGGUUUUCCAGUAUGACAGGGACUAUUCUAAGGAGAAUGUGAUCAGUGACAAAUGACUGCUCCCCCCAGCAGCCAGGACCCUAUGCUCCUUUCCAGAAUACUUACUGCUCUUCUAAUAAUGUGUUUAAUAAUAUGACUCUUCUCUUAAUGCAUUUUCCCCACCAGAUUGUGAGCUCCUUGAGAACAGAAACUGCCUUAUUGUUCACCAGUCUUCUGCGCCAAGGGCAGUGAUGAGCUGAUGGUCGAUGUUGGAUGAGUGGGUGGAUGGCUAGAUGGGUGAUGCCGUCCUGUGGAGUGAAAGGUAGACCUGAGAAUAACACACCUGAGGGCCUGCUGAGCAUCCCGGGAUUUGCUGUGAGCUGCCCAAGGCACUAGCACUGCCAUUGUGAAUGUGGGCUCACCAGUGUCCAUACAUGAUUUGAAGCCCCAGUCUGUGGUCUGAAAUGAACACCGUUAGUGCUUCCCGAACCUUGCCCCAGAACUCGUCCCAACAUCAAUGGGAAUAAACCUGUAGCCCCUGGGACCUGGGGCCUUCAGAGUCUCAUUCUAACUUAGUCAUUUUAUGAAAAAUUGGUAUUUUUCCUAAGAUAUCCAUUUUUCAUCUUCAUAUAAAAUACUUUUCCCAUCCUUCAGGUUGUGCCUUGUUAACCAGCCUGUGGCUUGUAGUAUCCCUGGCAAACCUCUGCAUGACCCAGGGAGUGCAUGUGCCCCGCUUGAGAACCAUACCGCAUGAAGAUGUUGUCCGUAAAAUAGUACUGCCAACAUGAAAAUAUUGUAGUCGGGAGAGGGUCCAGCUCAUGCUUUAAAUAUAGAAGGUGCUCAGCAAAUGCAUCUAAAUGAAGAGAAACCAAAACGAAGCAAAGAAAAAUCUAAAUCUCUUCUUCUCCCUCCUCCCCACAAACGCAGACAUUAAAAGACUCCUCCCAAGGGGUGAGCGGAGCCCCUAGAGAUUGCCCUGGAGCACAAACCACCCUAAAUGGAGCCUGAAGGUCUGUCAGUUCCCAGAGAGCAAUGAGGAAAUGGUAAGCAAAUGGCAGCAGUUGCAUAGAGAGUUAGGGAAUGAAUAACAGUGCUUUCUGGUAAAUUAACCAUAUUACAUUGUGCACAGCAAAGUGAUGGAAAAACCCUGUUAAAAAUUGAAUAAUAAUUUGCCCACAUCAUUUACGUAAAAUGCAUAAUUUUCCUA